rnacentral:rRNA from 1 species
CAGUCGCCACGGUAAUACGGAGGGCGCGAGCGUUACCCGGAUUUACUGGGCGUAAAGGGCGUGUAGGCGGCCUGGGGCGUCCCAUGUGAAAGGCCACGGCUCAACCGUGGAGGAGCGUGGGAUACGCUCAGGCUAGAGGGUGGGAGAGGGUGGUGGAAUUCCCGGAGUAGCGGCGAAAUGCGCAGAUACCGGGAGGAACGCCGAUGGCGAAGGCAGCCACCUGGUCCACUUCUGACGCUGAGGCGUGAAAGCGUGGGGAGCAAACCGGAUUAGAGACCCCUGUAGUCCCUGUCUCUUAUAC